GACGAACGCUGGCGGCGUGCUUAACACAUGCAAGUCGAGCGGUAAGGCCCCUCCGGGGGUACACGAGCGGCGAACGGGUGAGUAACACGUGAGCAACCUGCCCCCGACUCCGGGAUAAGCGGUGGAAACGCCGUCUAAUACCGGAUACGACCAACCGGCUCAUGCCGGGUGGUGGAAAGUUUUUUCGGUUGGGGAUGGGCCCGCGGCCUAUCAGCUUGUUGGUGGGGUAAAGGGCUACCAAGGCGAUUACGGGUAGCCGGCCUGAGAGGGCGAACGGCCACACUGGGACUGAGACACGGCCCAGACUCCUGCGGGAGGCAGCAGUGGGGAAUCUUGCGCAAUGGGCGAAAGCCUGACGCAGCGACGCCGCGUGGGGGAUGACGGCCUUCGGGUUGUAAACUCCUUUUACCACUCACGCAGGCCCGGGGUUCUCUCCGGGUUGACGGUAGGUGGGGAAUAAGGACCGGCUAACUACGUGCCAGCCGCCGCGGUAAAAC
rnacentral:rRNA from 1 species